rnacentral:rRNA from 1 species
GAUGAACGCUAGCGGGAGGCUUAAUACAUGCAAGUCGAACGGUAAGGUCAGUGCUUGCACUGAUACACGAGUGGCGAACGGGUGCGGAACGCGUACGAAACUUACCCUUUACUGGAGGAUAGCCCUGGGAAACUGGGAUUAAUACUCCAUAAUAUUCCGAAAUGGCAUCAUUUCGGAAUUAAAACUCCGGUGGUAAAGGAUAGUCGUGCGUCCCAUUAGCUUGUUGGUGAGGUAGUAGCUCACCAAGGCAACGAUGGGUAGCUGGCGUGAGAGCGUGGCCAGCCACACGGGAACUGAGACACGGUCCCGACUCCUACGGGAGGCAGCAGUAAGGAAUAUUGGACAAUGGAGGAAACUCUGAUCCAGCCAUCCCGCGUGCAGGAUGAAUGCCCUAUGGGUUGUAAACUGCUUUUCUCAGGGAAGAAACACUUCUAUUUAUAGAAACUUGACGGUACCUGAGGAAUAAGCACCGGCUAACUCCG